AAAUUGAAGAGUUUGAUCAUGGCUCAGAUUGAACGCUGGCGGCAGGCCUAACACAUGCAAGUCGAACGGUAACAGGAAGCAGCUUGCUGCUUCGCUGACGAGUGGCGGACGGGUGAGUAAUGUCUGGGAAACUGCCUGAUGGAGGGGGAUAACUACUGGAAACGGUGGCUAAUACCGCAUAACGUCGCAAGACCAAAGAGGGGGACCUUCGGGCCUCUUGCCAUCAGAUGUGCCCAGAUGGGAUUAGCUUGUUGGUGAGGUAACGGCUCACCAAGGCGACGAUCCCUAGCUGGUCUGAGAGGAUGACCAGCCACACUGGAACUGAGACACGGUCCAGACUCCUACGGGAGGCAGCAGUGGGGAAUAUUGCACAAUGGGCGCAAGCCUGAUGCAGCCAUGCCGCGUGUAUGAAGAAGGCCUUCGGGUUGUAAAGUACUUUCAGCGGGGAGGAAGGUGUUGUGGUUAAUAACCGCAGCAAUUGACGUUACCCGCAGAAGAAGCACCGGCUAACUCCGUGCCAGCAGCCGCGGUAAUACGGAGGGUGCAAGCGUUAAUCGGAAUUACUGGGCGUAAAGCGCACGCAGGCGGUCUGUCAAGUCGGAUGUGAAAUCCCCGGGCUCAACCUGGGAACUGCAUUCGAAACUGGCAGGCUUGAGUCUUGUAGAGGGGGGUAGAAUUCCAGGUGUAGCGGUGAAAUGCGUAGAGAUCUGGAGGAAUACCGGUGGCGAAGGCGGCCCCCUGGACAAAGACUGACGCUCAGGUGCGAAAGCGUGGGGAGCAAACAGGAUUAGAUACCCUGGUAGUCCACGCCGUAAACGAUGUCUACUUGGAGGUUGUGCCCUUGAGGCGUGGCUUCCGGAGCUAACGCGUUAAGUAGACCGCCUGGGGAGUACGGCCGCAAGGUUAAAACUCAAAUGAAUUGACGGGGGCCCGCACAAGCGGUGGAGCAUGUGGUUUAAUUCGAUGCAACGCGAAGAACCUUACCUGGUCUUGACAUCCACAGAACUUUCCAGAGAUGGAUUGGUGCCUUCGGGAACUGUGAGACAGGUGCUGCAUGGCUGUCGUCAGCUCGUGUUGUGAAAUGUUGGGUUAAGUCCCGCAACGAGCGCAACCCUUAUCCUUUGUUGCCAGCGGUCCGGCCGGGAACUCAAAGGAGACUGCCAGUGAUAAACUGGAGGAAGGUGGGGAUGACGUCAAGUCAUCAUGGCCCUUACGACCAGGGCUACACACGUGCUACAAUGGCGCAUACAAAGAGAAGCGACCUCGCGAGAGCAAGCGGACCUCAUAAAGUGCGUCGUAGUCCGGAUUGGAGUCUGCAACUCGACUCCAUGAAGUCGGAAUCGCUAGUAAUCGUGGAUCAGAAUGCCACGGUGAAUACGUUCCCGGGCCUUGUACACACCGCCCGUCACACCAUGGGAGUGGGUUGCAAAAGAAGUAGGUAGCUUAACCUUCGGGAGGGCGCUUACCACUUUGUGAUUCAUGACUGGGGUGAAGUCGUAACAAGGUAACCGUAGGGGAACCUGCGGUUGGAUCACCUCCUUACCUUAAAGAAGC
rnacentral:rRNA from 6 species